AUUGAACGCUGGCGGUAUGCUUAACACAUGCAAGUCGAACGAUGAGAAAGAGCUUGCUCUUUCGAUUAGUGGCGGACGGGUGCGUAACGCGUAGGAAUCUACCUAUUAGUGGGGGACAACUUAGGGAAACUUAAGCUAAUACCGCAUACGCCCUACGGGGGAAAGAAGGGGAUCGCAAGACCUUUUGCUAAUAGAUGAGCCUGCGUAGGAUUAGCUAGUUGGUGGGGUAAAAGCUCACCAAGGCGACGAUCCUUAACUGGUUUGAGAGGAUGAUCAGUCACACUGGAACUGAGACACGGUCCAGACUCUUACGGGAGGCAGCAGUGGGGAAUAUUGGACAAUGGGCGAAAGCCUGAUCCAGCAAUACCGCGUGUGUGAAGAAGGCCUUAGGGUUGUAAAGCACUUUCAAUUGGAAGGAAAACCUCGAAGCUAAUACCUUCGAGUUUGACAUUACCUUUAGAAGAAGCACCGGCUAACUCCGUGCCAGCAGCCGCCGUAA
rnacentral:rRNA from 1 species